CACAGGACGGUCCCCCAACCUAGAAUUAUAGUAUCCAGCUCAGAAUGUCCAUUGUACUGAGGCCGAGAAACCUCGCUUUAAAACAUAAGUCGGAUCAUGUCAUUCCCGACUCCAGCCUCUCUGCUGCUUUCUGAGUUGAUUCACAUUAAGAUCCAAAGGCUUCCUGAGGCUGAGAGGACCUUGCAUGCCCUGACUCCUGCUGGCCUUGGGCCCCAGCCCCCCUUACACGCCUUAGGCCUUGGCCUCGGUCUUGCCUUCCCGGCCCUGUCAGCCUCCCAGCCUCUCUCUCCUUCUCCAGCGUCCAGCAGGGCAUGGCAGCUGCACUGUGUUCAGGCCUUCUGGAUGACCUUCUGAAAAACAGCACCUGUCUUCCUCGCCAGGAUCUGCUGCUGGGCACUGGUUAUUUACUUAAGAAAGGAUCUGUGAACUGGCAGAAGUACGAUGGAGGCCACCUACUUUAAGUUGGUUGUUUGCACUCCUGUAUGUCCCCUCCAUCCUGCUGUUAAAGCCAGUCUGACCCCCUCCAGCACGUCAUCUCGCCUGAGAGCUGAAGUUAAGGGAAUGUAACGUCACCAAACGGAUGUGGCCUCAGCAAGUAACUUCAUAGCUGUGAGCUUUGGUUUGCUUUUUAGUGACAUGGAAAGGCCUGUAUGGUGAAAGUUUUCACUCAUUGCUUUGCCUAAGUCUUCUCAUUUUCACUUACUUCUUCCCAGUUUAUCCAGCUUUUCACAUAAAAGGAAAAUAAUAAAGCCAAAAUCCAAAACAUACAUAUUUUUCAGGGACACACCCUCAUGUACCAAUUGUGCAUAUAUCACUUCUUCCUGCUUAAAAAUGGAGAUUUCUUUUGAAGGGUUAUGUUUGAUUUUGAGCCAGAGUUUUCAGUAUGAAGAAGCUCUUUUUGGGCUUUUAGGACUUCAGGUAAUGCACAAAUUCUCAGGUGUCUCUCGCAGUCAGUGUUCUGCUGUAAAUCAGUGCAAGUCUCGGAUCUAGUUCAUGUCUGACCUUGUUUGGGCUCUGCAUAGUUUAGAACUUAGUCAUUUGCGUGGAGGAGAGAAAUGAAUCAUAUUGUUUAUUGUCAUAAUUAACAUGUGUUAUUAAAUUUGCAAAUGGCCACUAAUUGCCCAUGUACAGGGUCUAAGUAUGAAAACUGAAGAUUUCAAGGAGAAACCAGGAUGGAGUCAGUAAAGGCCUGAGAAGCUCUGCACAGAGUACAUGGUGGACGGCUGUGUUGAUUCAUGGAAUGAAGCACUGGGUGAAGUGAUAUUGAAUAUAGCUCACUCUCGAUGGCGUGAAAUUUUGUAGGCUAAUCUGGGGAUUAAUCAUAAAAAUGACUGAAGUCAGGCAUAAGGAGCCUAAACACUGGUAGGUAAUUGGGAAAUAGGUUUUUCUCUUCCAAUACUCUUCAGGAGAGAAAGAGCAUGGCACCUGCCCAGUCUCUCUUUAGGACAAUAUUCCAUGCACCAUGUUGCUUCUAAGCAUUUCUUCACAAAAGGAAGAAAACCCCAGGAUAUUGUAUUAUGUGGCAAUAAUGAGAUGCAGAUAGUCAGGAAGGUCUUUAUUAACUUGCUUAAGGAGAGCUGCUGAGUGGCUUAGAGGAUAAAGGGCUGGAUUUCUCUUUAGAGCCCCCAGUGGGAGUUUAAUUUGCAAUCCAGUGUAGAGACACAAUAUACAAUAGCUGCUUGCUUUAGUGGGUUGAUAGUAUGAAAAAUAUUUACUGGUUAUGAAAGAGAAUCCACUUCUGAGAAGUCUGCCUUAUUUUCAGAAUUUCAGGUGCAAUAGAUCCUUUCCCCACUGACGGUGCAUUAUAGAGCAUCCCGGUUGUAAAGGCUUCUUUGUUGCAUUUGGUUAAUCUAAAAAAUGAUAACCUCUUUACGCUAGAUACGUAUCUCUGGUCUGACUGACAUGCUAGCUGCCGCAGAUUUACAGCUAAUAUGUUAAGGUAAUUUCUCAGGACAGUUCAUGCAAUUCAUAGGGUACCUUUUUGAUCAGAUUGAUCUAAAUAUUUAAUAGUCAUAACCUUCUGCUUGGUUUUGCUCCUCGGUUUCAAAGAAUAAUGAAGUGGCAUGACCUAGCGGGAACAGCAUAGUCACGAGAGCAAUGAGCUUUAUAUUUUCCCAACAAAUAUUUAUUGAGGGGCUGUGAGUAUAGCCCUGGCUUUAUUUAGUCAUGUUUCUCACUUUGCUGUUACCGAUGUCGGUUUCUACGUACACAUAAUUGAGAAAGGAAUGGAUUUUUGCCUGUUUAAAGAAAGUUGCUGUAGAGACAAACGAUGAAGACUUUUUGAUUGUCUGUCUUUCCCCUGUUCCAAUCAUGGUCGCUAUUGAGAAUCACUGCUGAUCAUCUGUCUGUACAGUUCUUAGCAUGGUUCCUGGUGCUAGGUGAGGGCCCACCACCCAUUUAAUUUCUGGUGGGUCUGGGGCAGGCAUCUGACACCCCACUUAUGAGGUUGAAGUCCACAUCCCCAGCAAGUCAUAUGUGUCCUACAAAAAAUAUGCUGGGCUACUCUGCAAGUGAGUACAAUUUCAGUGUGAAUUUCUUUUCAGUAAUUAGGAACUCAGUCCCAAGUAAAACUUUAAAGAGGCCAAGAAAAAGAGAAACGGAAAGUGAGGAGACACGAGUUUUGGAUGUGAGGAAUAAUCCUAGUCUAUCACGUGUGCUGUGCAUCCCUGGUACUGCAGAAGGUAUUUUAUGGCAGGAAAGAUCCUAAGAGUUAAUGCUGAAUUCCUAUGUGACAGAAGAGAAACAAUGGAGAUAAUUCAGAGCCUUGUCAUCAAGCUAACAAGGAGCUUCCAGGUACAAAGCCUAUCAGGCUCUGAUUCCAUGCAAGGAAAGUCAUUUUCUCCUCCUUCUUCCUCAAAAAUGCAUGGCUAUAUUCUAAAGGAACCACACACCCUGAAGUUUCAUGUCUCAACCUAUAUUCAUCCAUUGGCCUGCAGUGUCUAUUACCCUGACUUCUGCACCUAGAGAGCUCCAUCCACCCAUCAUCCGCCUCUAACAUUCCUCUUGCCCUUCUGCCAGCUCUGGUUGCAAGGCCCUCAGAUUCUCUCAGGCAUUUACCUCUUUCUUCUUCUGGCUGCAGAAAAUGCCGUGUGUGCACAUCUCCUGCAGCGGCUCCUCACUUUUCCCACGUCACUGACAUUUUGGGAGGAUCCGAUAAAGCUUAUGAAGCCUCUGCCCAAACAAGUGGCAUGUAUACCAUGGGGGCUCAUGGGCCACUUGGAGCUCAACUACGAAUCCACGAGUGGUUUAUGGCCCUCAGGUUAGAAAUUCUCUCCUCUUUGGAAUUUCUUUCACUGAAAGUGGAUGCACCUUCUGUCUCUUAUAUGGUCUGUGAGAGGGCAGAGGCAAUGCCAGAUUUGUUUAUCAGUGUUUUGGAUUUCCAGUAGCAAUCCCUGUGCUUACAUUAAGUACAUGCUUAUUGGAUGACUGUAAGGGAAUUAGCUCCACAAGUUAGUGCAAGUCUGGUUUAUAGGCCUCCUGCUUGCACAAUUUCCCUGUAUGAAUUAUUGGGCAUUUAUAUAGAGAAAGCGCUACAAGUUGUGAGAAAAAUGUCACAAACAUUCACAACAAAUCCUUAGGCAUUAAAAAUAUAUAUUUCUAAUUAAUAUAGGGAACAAAGAGCUUUGUGCUCUUAACAUAGAUAAAUUUGGUUACUGAUACAUUUAUUAACAUUGAAAGUUCAUUUCGAAGUGUAGAUGAACACAGUAUUAUUUCUACUAGACAUUUAGGGGAUUAAAAACAAUGAAAUAUAUAGCUGCAAGUCUCAGGCACAAGCACUCUUGGCUACUACAGAGAGGCAAAGAAAUUAGAAAAAAAAUCCUUUUCUUCCAAAGAGACAUAUUCUCUUCUUGUCAAGCCCAGGUCUAUUAACAUGGCAAAGGAAGAAACUUCACACAGCUCCUGCUUGCUUAAUGUCCACUUAGUGAUAAAUGGAGACCCCCCUUCUCUGGGGGUGUUAAUCUAGUUUCCCCAAAGGACUUACUCGUUUGGAAAAUGAGGAAAAUUAUGCAUUGAUUUAAAAUGGUUCUGGAAUGCAGAGGAGCGCCCCACUUUGUAUGAGACAAGAAUUCAGACAGUCACAGAUCAUCAGCAGAAGAGCACCUCAGUAAAUUAUCUUCCACACUUUUUCUAAUUUUCAUGAGCACUCCCACCCCCAACUCCCCACACACAAAUAAAUCACUGUGGGGAGAAAUCAUCAAGGGGAGUGAAAAAGAUUUAACUGCUUCAGACAGGAUAAAACACUACAAGACCCGCACAUAGGCAAGAAGCCUGGGGGAUGCUAAGCUCUGCAUCCCAUUAUGGGAUGUCAAGAUUUGCAUAAGGCAGACUAAUGUCUCAUACUUCAGUCUCGUUUCGAUGUGUCAGAGAAUAAAUGACGAUAAUGUUGGAACUUCUGUUUCAAACAUCAGGAGCAGAGAAUAGCAAUUUGCACACACCGUCCUGGAGCACAUCCCAGGUUUCCAUGAGUAAUUCAGGGGCAUUUGAGUCAUUGUAAAGCAUCCUGCAUCUUGUCGCUAAACAAUGAAUGGGUAACUGCACUUGAUUUGGCAUAGAAACAUCUGAAACCCAUAUGAUAUUGACUUAGGAUGCAAUUGCGUGUCUUUGAAUUUUGAUCUUUCAUAGUUAGUUCUACCUGAUAUAAUAUUUAGAAUCUUUUUUUUUUUUCUGUAGUAGAAGGGGCUGUCUGCAAGUGUUCCCUUGGAGAAAUUUGCAGAGUCACAUUGCUUGGUGGAAUGCUAGCCCAAGAAUUAUUUUGUUUGUGUCGUGAAAAAUGACGCCCUGGCUUCGAGAAUCAGGCUUUUGUCAUGAAUAGCAGCUUCAUGCUCGUGAAGACUGAAAUGGAUUGAUUGGUUUGAGUACUUAUUAAAAUGCCUUAAGAAUAAAUGUUUUUUUCUUCUUAAAGAACAUCUAUGAUAAAAUAUUUAUAAAUAUUUAAAUAUAUAUUAUUUAAAUGGUUUGACAUUGGUUUUCUUUUUUCUCUUUCUUUUUUUCUUUCUCUUUUUCUCUUUCUCUCUUUCUUUCUUUCUCUCUUCUUUCUUUCUUUCUGGGCAGUGUAUUGCUCUGUGGUCUAACCUGGAGUGUAGUGGAGCAACCACGGCCACUGUAGCCUCCACUUCCCAGGCUCAAGCGAUCUGCCCACCUCAGCCUCUCAAGUAGCUGGGACCGCAGGCACAUGCCACCAUGCCUGGCUAUUUUAUUAUCAUUAUUGUUUUUUUUGUAGAGACAAGGCCUGGUUAGCUACUUUGCCAGGGCUAGUCCUGAACACCUGGGCUCAAGCGAUCCUUCCACCUCAACCUCCCAAAGGGCUUGGAUUAUAGGCAUGAACCACCAUGCCUGGCUGAUUUGACAUUGGGAUGCACUUAAAAAUGAUCCAGUGCCAGAGGAGGGAAAUGGGCAGGAGUAGAGAUGAAAUAGGAUGGGCCACAGAGAAGGUUCAUUAAUCUAUUCUUUAUACUUUUGUCUAUGUUUGAAAUUUUCCAUAAGGAAAACUUGAAAAACAAUUAUUUUGUAAACAAAUGGCCCUAUGGAAUAAAAGUAUAUUGUAAAAAAAUUGUUUAUAAAAUACUCUCACUCCAAACUCAUAAUGUUCUUAUUCAGAAUAUUUAUGUAAUCAAAUAAAAUAUUUGAAAUUAAUAGUGACUUCCAUUUAGCUUAUGUGAUCCUUAUUAAGUAAAAAUGCCACAAGAGCUAGUUCUAUCAAAUAGAUUUGUAUGUCAAACUGCUCUUUUAUAGGUAAAUUUUACCUCAAACAACUAUUUAAUAGCCACCUACUAUAUGCAAAGAAAUACUGUACAUUACAGCUUUUUUGUUGACAUCAUUUUUAGUACCUGUUUAUAACUUAUAAGCUAAGGAUGCACUGUAUCAGAAUGUAAUAAAACUGAAUUUUUAAAAAAU
rnacentral:lncRNA from 10 species